rfam:Ornithorhynchus anatinus chromosome 3, whole genome shotgun sequence.
CCCCUCUCAGGAUCACACCUAGAGAGUUUCCAGUACUCUACCAACCUCGGCUGUGGGUGGGAGAGUCGAGCAGAGGAAUACCCAUUCCAUUCCUAGCUUGGGCAGUGGCUAGCGAGUGGAAGGCAAUCUGCUAUAAAU